AGCGAACGCUGGCGGCAGGCCUAACACAUGCAAGUCGAACGAAGUCUUCGGACUUAGUGGCGGACGGGUGAGUAACACGUGGGAACGUGCCUUUAGGUUCGGAAUAACUCAGGGAAACUUGUGCUAAUACCGAAUGUGCCCAUCGGGGGCAAGAUUUAUCGCCUUUAGAGCGGCCCGCGUCUGAUUAGCUAGUUGGUGAGGUAAAGGCUCACCAAGGCGACGAUCAGUAGCUGGUCUGAGAGGAUGAUCAGCCACAUUGGGACUGAGACACGGCCCAAACUCCUACGGGAGGCAGCAGUGGGGAAUCUUGCGCAAUGGGCGAAAGCCUGACGCAGCCAUGCCGCGUGAAUGAUGAAGGUCUUAGGAUUGUAAAAUUCUUUCACCGGGGACGAUAUGACGGUACCCGGAGAAGAAGCCCCGGCUAACUUCGUGCCAGCCGCCGCAGUAAAAC
rnacentral:rRNA from 1 species